rnacentral:lncRNA from 1 species
GUUCUCAUGAUAGUGAAUGGGUCUCACAAGAUCUGAUGGAUUUAAAGACGGGAGUUUCUCUGCACAAGCUCUCUCUUUUUGCCUGCUGCCGUCCACAUAAGAUGUGACUUGCUCCUCCUUGACUUUUGCCUUCCACCAUGAUUGUGAGGCCUCCCCAGCCACAUGGAACUUCUCAGGUAUGUCUUUAUCAGCAGCCUGAAAACUGAUUAAUACGCUUGGCUUUUGAGAAAACAGCAGAAGCAGGAAGGUUACUCUCUGACCUUCUCCCACCCAUCUCCCCUGAGGUUGAAUCUGCUUUCUCAUCUGGCCCACUGAUGGCUCCAAACAGCCACAUGUAAAUGAGGAAUUCAAAUGUUAUAUGUGCCCAGUGCCUCCAGCAAACCCUCUCAGCUUAUUUGGGUCCUGAAUCCAAAUUCCAGGAAGAGAGAAUUGCACUGGUCUAGCUCGGAUCAGUACUUCUUAUACUUGGCCAAUCAUCUGUGAUGGUGAGGGAUGGGAUGUCAGAGUAAAACAUACUGCCGUUUUCCAGUAUGAGCAUGAGGAAAAGGCAGGAAAUCCAAAAGCAGAGUAUGGCCAGUGUGGAGAAAUGGCUAUCACCCUUGUAAGGGACAGUUCAGCCAAGGCUGCCGACUGGCAAUUUAGGUCAUGCAAAUUUUUUUCCAUAAAUUAAGACUUUUUUGAUUGCAUAAAAAUUAGAAAUGUCUAACAAAGAACCUCCUAAACAGAAUAAUUAAGCCUUGGAAAAUUACCUAUGUAACAAAACUGCACAUUCUGCACAUGUACCUCAGAACUUAAAUAAUAAAAAAUUUAAAAAUACAUGAUAUUUGCACAUGUAUUUGUCCUUGUUUUUCUCCUUUAAGCCUUUAUAAGUGAACAGCGUCAA